rnacentral:rRNA from 1 species
UACGCAGGGUGCAAGCGUUACUCGGAAUUACUGGGCGUAAAGGGCGUGUAGGCGGUACCAUAAGUCAGAUGUGAAAGCCCUAGGCUUAACCUAGGAGGUGCAUUUGAUACUAUGGAACUAGAGAUCGAGAGAGGAAAGUGGAAUUACGAGUGUAGAGGUGAAAUUCGUAGAUAUUCGUAAGAACACCAGUGGCGAAGGCGACUUUCUGGCUCGAUACUGACGCUAAGGCGCAAAAGCGUGGGGAGCAAACAGG